UUGGAGGGCAAGUCUGGUGCCAGCAGCCGCGGUAAUUCCAGCUCCAAUAGCGUAUAUUAAAGUUGUUGCAGUUAAAAAGCUCGUAGUUGAAUUUCGGGAUUAGUACGCUGGUCGUGCCUUCGGUACGUACUGGUGUUACUGAUUUCUACCUUCUGACGAACCAUCAUGUCAUUCAUUUGGUGUGGUGGGGAAUCAGGACUGUUACUUUGAAAAAAUUAGAGUGUUUAAAGCAGGCUCGCGCUUGAAUACAUUAGCAUGGAAUAAUGAAAUAGGACGUUGAUCCUAUUUUGUUGGUUUCUAGGAUUGACGUAAUGAUUAAUAGGGAUAGUUGGGGGCAUUAGUAUUCAAUUGUCAGAGGUGAAAUUCUUGGAUUUAUUGAAGACUAACUACUGCGAAAGCAUUUGCCAAGGAUGUUUUCAUUAAUCAAGAACGAAAGUUAGGGGAUCGAAGACGAUCAGAUACCGUCGUAGUCUUAACCAUAAACUAUGCCGACUAGGGAUCGGAUGAUGUUAUUUUUAAUGACUCAUUCGGCGCCUUACGGGAAAC
rnacentral:rRNA from 1 species